GAGGGUAUAGCUCAGUGGUAGAGCACAUGCUUAGAAUGCACAGGGUCCUGGGUUCAAUACCCAGUACCUCCA
rnacentral:tRNA from 1 species